rnacentral:lncRNA from 1 species
GAGUUAAAAGGUGUUCCCUUCCCACACCGCCCCAGCAAAAUGCAUUUUAAAAAAAUACCAGGGAGAUAACUUUGGUUUAAUAUGUGUCUAUAAAAUCUGACUCAACAGGCUUUCUGGUUCAUUUGGAAACUCCCAUACUGCAAUACGGAGAACCUGACCAGGUAAAAAUGGUUUGGAUACUGGAAAAGGUACCUAUAUUUAAACCCACAACCCCACAGAAUCUAGGGGACCCUUUCUGAAAGAAAGAAGGCUGCUGCCCCUCUGCACAAUUUGGGUUCCUUUUCCAGUCUCUUUUUCUGUGGAUCAGAUGCAACUGAACUCUUCAGUCUUUUCCAGCUCAAGGAAAAGAUGCAGCGUAUUUAAAAGUAAAUCAUUUUAUGGGCAGGGGUGCGGUUCAGAAGGAAGUGCAUUUUUUAAAUUCUUAUUAAUUUUAAACAAACAAUUUUAAACACUUGAGAGGAAAAGUUCCAAAGUCCAAACAGACAUAUAAACAAGUCAAAAUGCAAAAAAAAAAAAAAAGCCCCAAAUANAUUACGGCCAUGAUUAGCAAGCUGCUUGGAGAAAGAGAGUUCAUCUUAGCAUUAUCGGUAUGACAAAUUCAAAAGACUGGGAAUCCAAGGCGGGAAAGGGGAAGCAUCCUGCAACCCCAAAGNGUGUUUGGAUUGGAAGCAUGGAUUGAGGUGGACUCAAAAAGUUGGCAUCGGCUGCCCAUCGCUAACUCCAACUCAGUUGCACUAAACGCUUAAUAAUGUAUGCCUAAGAAUGUAAGACGUGCAUGACUGGAUCAGUCCAAGAAGGUUCCAUCCAGCAGUCUGAUGCCCCAGGAGCCAGCCAACUUCACACAGAAGCCCACAGGCAAGACACAAGCACAGCUUGCCCUGCCCACAUUCCCACUGCAGUUCACCAUCACCACGGAAGACAAGCUGACCUUUUCCAGAAAGCUAAAAGGCGCAUCACUGAGAUAAUUUCUUACCUGUUCCGCUCUCUGUUCUUCUUCCCCACAGGCCACGUUGCUUGCCACAGGAAGAAAAGGUUACGUCUCCCGGACCCCUUCCAAGCCAGCUAUCGGACCUGUACNGCAAGACAGACACACUCAGUUAUGGUAUCGCUGGAGCAGCUGACAGAGCCUUACCUGGAACGAGGUGUUCUGCCACUGAAUUGGGAAGUGAACAACACCUCUCCUGUUAUAACCCUGGAAGAGCCCUGAGGUCAUCUGGAGGUUCCACGUAAUACAGAAUGCCAUCUUAUGACAGCUCACUGCGGGACCUUCUUAGUGGUAGCACCUUCCCUUUGGAAUGCCCUCCUUUCUGCUGUACACGAGGUACCUAUUAAAGACCUAUAUUUUUACACAGGCAUUUCCUGUGGGAAUAUUUGUUUCUCCCCCCCGACCCUCUAAGUUUUUAAUGUGUUUUAACUACUGUUUUUACUCUUGUUUUUAACUCUUGUUUUUAAGGCUCCGUAAAUCACUUUGAAAUUGGUUCAAUGGAAGGUGGCAUAAAAAUAUCUUAAAUAAAUAAGUGAAUGAGUAAUUAAACA